AUGGGCAGUGUUGGGCCCUCCUUUCAGGUGUUUUGGACUUCAACUCCCACCAUUCCUAACAGCCUCAGGCCCCUUCCUUUCCACCCUCAGCCGCUUAACAGAAGAACAGCCUGCCUCAGGAGAGCGUGCUUGCUCCAUCAAUGUUUAAGAUCUACACAAAUGAUCAGCCAUUGCCAGAAGGCACAGAGAGGUGCUCUUACUGCCUAUUACAGGGAAAAUCAGCUGAUUCCUAAUCCAUCUAAAACGCAAACGUGUGCUUUUCACCUUAAGAACAGACAAGUAUCUCAAGCUCUGAGGAUUAAUUGGGAAAGAAUCCCACUGGAGCAUUACAGCACACCAAAAUACUUGGGAGUUACCCUGGACCGUGCCCUGACUUACAAGAAACACUGCUUGACUAUCAAGCAAAAAGUGGGCGCUAGAAAUAACAUCCUACGAAAGCUGACUGGCACAACCUGGGGAUCACAACCAGACACAGUGAAAACAUCUGCCCUUGCACUUUGUUACUCUGUUGCUGAAUAUGCAUGCCCAGUGUGGAAUACAUCUCACCACAGUAAAACAGUGGAUGUGGCUCUUAAUGAGACAUGCCACAUCAUCACAAAAUGUCUACACCCCACACCACUGGAGAAAUUAUACUGUUUAACCCGCAUUGCACCACCUGACAUCCACCGGGAAGUAGCAGCCAGCAAUGAAAGGACCAAGGCAUUGACAUCUCCAGCCCAUCCCCUGUUCGGGUGUCAACCAGUAUGCCAACACCUUAAAUCAAGAAAUAGUUUCCUAAGAUCUACAGAGAUACUCACAGGAGCACCUCAGCAAGCGAGAAUCCAAAAGUGGCAGGCUAAAACCCGGAACCUAAAUCAGUGGCUGACGCCAGAUGAGAGACUCCCUCCUGGGCACACAGAAGACUGGAAGGUGCUGAACAGACUUCGCUCUGGCACCAUAAGAUGCAGAGCCAACCUUAAGAAAUGGGAUUACAAAGUGGAAUCCACGGCAUCUGAGUGUGGAGAAGAGCAAACCAAAGACUACUUAUUACAAUGCAGCCUGAGCCCUGCCACAUGCACAAUGGAGGGCCUUCUUACAGUGUGCCGUCGCGCCUGGGGCUAUAACUCUUAG
rnacentral:lncRNA from 1 species